rnacentral:rRNA from 1 species
AACGAACGCUGGCGGCAUGCCUAACACAUGCAAGUCGAACGAGACCUUCGGGUCUAGUGGCGCACGGGUGCGUAACGCGUGGGAAUCUGCCCUCUGGUACGGAAUAACAGUUAGAAAUGACUGCUAAUACCGUAUAAUGACUUCGGUCCAAAGAUUUAUCGCCUGAGGAUGAGCCCGCGUCGGAUUAGCUUGUUGGUGAGGUAAAAGCUCACCAAGGCGACGAUCCGUAGCUGGUCUGAGAGGAUGAUCAGCCACACUGGGACUGAGACACGGCCCAGACUCCUACGGGAGGCAGCAGUGGGGAAUAUUGGACAAUGGGCGGAAGCCUGAUCCAGCAAUGCCGCGUGAGUGAUGAAGGCCUUAGGGUUGUAAAGCUCUUUUACCCGGGAUGAUAAUGACAGUACCGGGAGAAUAAGCCCCGGCUAACUCCGUGCCAGCCGCCGCGGUAA